CUGGCUCAGGACGAACGCUGGCGGCGUGCCUAACACAUGCAAGUCGAACGGAGUCAAGAAGCUUGCUUUUGACUUAGUGGCGGACGGGUGAGUAACGCGUGAGUAACCUGCCUCUGAGAGGGGAAUAACGUUCUGAAAAGAACGCUAAUACCGCAUAACGUAUUGAAGCCGCAUGACUUUGAUACCAAAGAUUUUAUCGCUCGGAGAUGGACUCGCGUCCGAUUAGUUAGUUGGUGAGGUAACGGCUCACCAAGACCGCGAUCGGUAGCCGGACUGAGAGGUUGAUCGGCCACAUUGGGACUGAGACACGGCCCAGACUCCUACGGGAGGCAGCAGUGGGGGAUAUUGCGCAAUGGGGGCAACCCUGACGCCAGCAACGCCGCGUGAAGGAUGAAGGUUUUCGGAUUGUAAACUUCUUUUAUCAGGGACGAAAUCUGACGGUACCUGAUGAAUAAGCUCCGGCUAACUACGUGCCAGCAGCCGC
rnacentral:rRNA from 1 species